ACGGAAGGCAGCAGUGGGGAAUAUUGGGCAAUGGGCGCAAGCCUGACCCAGCAACGCCGCGUGAAGGAAGAAGGUUUUCGGAUUGUAAACUUCUGUCCUAAGUGACGAAAACAAUGACGGUAGCUUAGGAGGAAGCCCCGGCUAACUACGUGCCAGCAGCCGCGGUAAUACGUAGGGGGCAAGCGUUGUCCGGAAUGACUGGGCGUAAAGGGCGUGUAGGCGGUUUUUUAAGUCUGGAGUGAAAGUCCUGCUUUCAAGGUGGGAAUUGCUUUGGAGACUGGAAGACUUGAGUGCGGAAGAGGUAAGUGGAAUUCCCAGUGUAGCGGUGAAAUGCGUAGAGAUUGGGAGGAACACCAGUGGCGAAGGCGACUUACUGGGCCGUAACUGACGCUGAGGCGCGAAAGCGUGGGGAGCGAACAGGAUUAGAUACCCUGGUA
rnacentral:rRNA from 1 species